rnacentral:snRNA from 1 species
AUAUAUAUAUAUAUAUAUAUAUAUAUAUAUAUAUAUAUAUAUAGCAUGGCCCCUGCGCAAGGAUGACACGCAAAUUCGUGAAGCGUUCCAUAUUUUU